rnacentral:rRNA from 1 species
CCUACGGGAGGCAGCAGUGGGGGAUAUUGCACAAUGGGGGGAACCCUGAUGCAGCGACGCCGCGUGGGUGAAGAAGCGCCUCGGCGCGUAAAGCCCUGUCAGCAGGGAAGAAAAUGACGGUACCUGAAGAAGAAGCCCCGGCUAACUACGUGCCAGCAGCCGCGGUAAUACGUAGGGGGCAAGCGUUAUCCGGAUGUACUGGGUGGAAAGGGGGCGCAGACGGCGAUGCAAGCCAGGAGUGAAAGCCCGGGGCCCAACCCCGGGACUGCUCUUGGAAGUGCGUGGCUGGAGUGCAGGAGGGGCAGGCGGAAUUCCUGGUGUAGCGGUGAAAUGCGUAGAUAUCAGGAGGAACACCGGUGGCGAAGGCGGCCUGCUGGACUGCAACUGACGUUGAGGCCCGAAAGCGUGGGGAGCAAACAGGAUUAGAUACCCUGGUAGUC